rnacentral:rRNA from 1 species
CCUACGGGUGGCAGCAGUGGGGAAUAUUGGACAAUGGGCGAAAGCCUGAUCCAGCCAUGCCGCGUGUGUGAAGAAGGCCUUCGGUUUGUAAAGCACUUUCAGUGGGGAAGAAAGCCUUGGGGCUAAUACCCUCGAGGAAGGACAUCACCCACAGAAGAAGCACCGGCUAACUCCGUGCCAGCAGCCGCGGUAAUACGGAGGGUGCGAGCGUUAAUCGGAAUUACUGGGCGUAAAGCGCGCGUAGGCGGUCUGAUAAGCCGGUUGUGAAAGCCCCGGGCUCAACCUGGGAACGGCAUCCGGAACUGUCAGGCUAGAGUGCAGGAGAGGAAGGUAGAAUUCCCGGUGUAGCGGUGAAAUGCGUAGAGAUCGGGAGGAAUACCAGUGGCGAAGGCGGCCUUCUGGACUGACACUGACGCUGAGGUGCGAAAGCGUGGGUAGCAAACAGGAUUAGAUACCCUAGUAGUC